rnacentral:misc_RNA from 1 species
CGGGAAGGAUUGACAGAUU